GUGAAUACGGGUGUUGUGACGCUGUUAUACACUAGGGGGCAACACAAAAUCAAGUAAAACACUACACAGACACACACUUCCUGCUCGGUGUGUGUUGGUAAACACUGACCACAUGCUCUCCGCGAUCUCUCUUUUUUGUUGUGAAAGAGAAGACAACGACAACGACUUUGUUUAAUAGCCAGUCUCAGUUUAACAGCUUAACUUUUUAGCAAUUUCCACGAUGUCUCUGCGGUUGCACGGUGGGAAAUGAAAGGUUUUCUUGGUGAGGGCCCUGAUGGAUUUUAUAAAAGCAUUAAUUCCAGCUAUUACAAAUAUUGUUUUGUCUGUGUCAGCAUUGCAUGCUGCUCAUCACCUAUUCAAGGACCACAGAGCAUCAGCGCUGGGCUUCCUCCUGAUUGGCUGCUCCUCUUUCCUCUCAGUCCUUUCUCCCACUAGCCAACCAAUCAUAUCACUCCAGAAGGAUUUAGAAUGGGCAGGUGAAACACUUGGACCGGCACUGUCUACUUUUGACUUCCUGUGGCUCAGUGAGGACCACUUCACUGCCCGGAUCCUCCUGAUUGGCUCCACCCUUCUCCUAAUGCUCUCUAAUUGGCUGUCACCAGACGGGUUGAUGUUUAUGUCAUGCUGCCUGGCCUUUUCCUCCCUGUCCUGUUCGCUCACAGUGUGUGCGUUUGCUGAAAAUGCAGCAGGGGCAGUGGGCAUUAUAGCCCUCAGUCUGUCUUUAUUCGUGUCUCAGAGGAGCCGAAUGGGCUCUUUGGGUUCUCUUAUAUCUCCUGAGGUCACAGUAGGACUCCUCGGCUGGGCCCUUAAAGUCAUCAUGGCAUUAGGUUGCUGGACCACCAGGAAGGCGCUUAAUAAAUUCCUUUUGGAUUUAAAAGGUUGGGACUGAACCUGGUCAGUUUUUAUAGGGGUGUGAACUUAUGGAAAACAUCAGAUGUAUUUUUAUAGAUAACAAAGUACCACAAACUGCUACUUCUUUCAUCUCAGGCUGUUAGCAGUAGCACUUAUACAUACUGUUUGCUUAUUUAAGCUUAUAUAAUGACUUAUCUAAUUUAAGUUGUGGAAUAUAACCCAUACAUGUAAUCAAGAUUGUCAGGAUACUUGAGUGAGUUUGAAUAACAGUUGGACGUAAACCGUGCAGGACAGCGGCACUUCAGGACCAUAUUAAAUGUCCCUGGUGUACAAUGUAUUGAAACUGGAGAUUAACAACUGUAAUUAUAUGAGGUUGGUUAUAUAGGAUGUAUAACAAAGCUGUUCCAUACAAUUACAUUGAGGCCUUGUAAAAUCCUAGUGCGAUGAAAAAAAUAUGCAUCACCAACAAUGGGUUCUUUAUGAAGAAAGAAUGAGACUCUAUGGGUCUAAACAUACAAAGCAUUGUCUUCUGUCCAGAGAACAUAUGCAGAAGUGUGUCACUGUAUGGAAGUCCAACAAACAUUAACAAUUAAUCUGACUUUUUCUCAUGAAUUAGCAGCUUCGGAAAAUACCGUAAGCCUAUCAUGUCAAAUAACAUUUAAAGCUUAAUAUAUUUUUUAUACAAAUCACUGAAAAUAAACUGCUUCUGAGAAGGAAUUUUGAUUGUAUAACUAAUAAUUUUGUACGUGUUCUGCAUCUGUUCAUCCAUAUAAAAUUAGCUAUAAACUAUAUAGAGUUGGUCCAAAAAUGAAAACUGUCUCACGAUUUACUCACCUUCAUACCAUCCCAGAUCUAAAGGACUUCGACUUGGCUGAAAAAAUAUCUGUCACUUUCUGUACAUAUGGAGAUCCCAAAAUGUUGAAGACCGAAAAAGAACAUCCAUCCAUUAUAAAGGUUAUAUGACUCCAGUUAGUUCAGAAAUGACUUCUGAAGAGAAAUGUUAGGUGUGUGAGAGAAAACUAUAUAUGUAUUUUGAACUUAUUUAGCUAUAAGCAUAAAGUGAUAUUUGUGUUCAGUUCAGAUGAAAAAUGAGUCAUAUACCAUGACAUGGGCUGAGUAAAAUGUUCAAUUUUUAAGUGAACUGCUCCUUUAACGGUCAGCAUGGUCUGAGCAUAUGGCAUGUGGUUUUCUAUUUGUCCUCCAUGUAAAUAUGAACAGUAUGAUAUGUAGCAACACAAUAAAUCCUUCU